AUUGAACGCUAGCGGGAUGCUUUACACAUGCAAGUCGAACGGCAGCGCGGACUUCGUUCUGGCGGCGUGUGGCGAACGGGCGAGUAAUGUAUCGGAACGUGCCCAGUAGCGGGGGAUAACUACGCGUAAGCGUAGCUAAUACCGCAUACGCUCUACUGGUGAAAGCAAUGGAUCGUAAGUCCUUGCACUUUUUGAGCUGCCCAUGUCGUAUUAGCUAGUUGGUUAGGUAACGGCUUACCAAGGCGACGAUCCGUAGCUGGUUUGAGAGGACGACCAGCCACACUGGGACUGAGACACGGCCCAGACUCCUACGGGAGGCAGCAGUGGGGAAUUUUGGACAAUGGGGGCAAGCCUGAUCCAGCAAUCCCGCGUGAGCGAUGAAGGCCUUCGGGUUGUAAAGCACUGUUGGCAGGAAAGAAAAGACGCGGGAUAAUACCCCGUGGACCUGACGGUACCUGCAGAAUAAGCACCGGCUAACUACGUG
rnacentral:rRNA from 1 species